UUUGACCUCAAAUCAGGUAGGACUACCCGCUGAACUUAAGCAUAUCAAUAAGCGGAGGAAAAGAAACUAACAAGGAUUCCCCUAGUAACUGCGAGUGAAGCGGGAAAAGCUCAAAUUUGAAAUCUGGCAGUCUUUUUUUUCUUCUUUGGCUGUCCGAGUUGUAAUCUAGAGAAGUGCUUACCUGCACUGGACCAUGUAUAAGUCUCCUGGAAUGGAGCCUCACAGAGGGUGAGAAUCCCGUCUUUGACAUGGACCGCCAGUGCGUUGUGGUGUGCUCUCAAAGAGUCGAGUUGUUUGGGAAUGCAGCUCUAAAUGGGUGGUAAACUCCAUCUAAAGCUAAAUAUUGGCGAGAGACCGAUAGUGAACAAGUACCGUGAGGGAAAGAUGAAAAGGACUUUGGAAAGAGAGUUAAACAGUAUGUGAAAUUGUUGAAAGGGAAACGCUUGAAGUCAGUUAUGUUGGCUGGGGAUCAACCUAGCUAUUUUUUUUUGGCUGGGUGAAUUUCCUAGUCUGACAGGCCAACAUCAGUCUUGACUGCUGGAAAAGAGCGGAGGGAAUGUGGCACCUUUGGGUGUGUUAUAGCCCUCUGUCAUAUAUGGCAGUCGGGACUGAGGGAUGCAGCGUGCCGUGAGGCUGGGUUUCGACCACGUUCACGCUUAGGAUGUUGGCUUUUAAUGGCUCCAAUCGACCCGUCUUGAAACACGGACCAAGGAGUCUAACAUGCCUGCGAGUGUUUGGGUGGAAAACCCUUGUGCACAAUGAAAGUGAAAGUUGAGAUCCCUGUCAUGGGGAGCAUCGACGCCCGGACUUGAGCUUUUAGCGACGGAUCCGCGGUAGAGCAUGCAUGUUGGGACCCGAAAGAUGGUGAACUAUGCCUGAAUAGGGGAAAGCCAGAGGAAACUCUGGUGGAGGCUCGUAGCGAUUCUGACGUGCAAAUCGAUCGUCAAAUUUGGGUAUAGGGGCGAAAGACUAA
rnacentral:rRNA from 1 species